rnacentral:snoRNA from 1 species
AUUCCGUGAGAAGGGCAUUUCCAUAAUAGUUCUUUAAACCUUUCCCAUGCCUCAUACAAGGACUCGUCAUACAUCUAUUAGAAAUUAGUGAUAUCAUUCUGCAACU